rnacentral:rRNA from 1 species
CUCCUACGGGAGGCAGCAGUGGGGGAUAUUGCACAAUGGGGGGAACCCUGAUGCAGCGACGCCGCGUGGGUGAAGGAGCGUUUCGGCGCGUAAAGCCCUAUCGGCAGGGAAGAAGGAGGACGGUACCUGACUAAGAAGCCCCGGCUAACUACGUGCCAGCAGCCGCGGGAAUACGUAGGGGGCAAGCGUUAUCCGGAUUUACUGGGUUUAAAGGGUGCGUAGGCGGUUUGAUUAGUUAG